rnacentral:rRNA from 1 species
GACGAACGCUGGCGGCGUGCCUAAUACAUGCAAGUUGAGCGCUGAAGGCUGGUACUUGUACCAACUGGAUGAGCAGCGAACGGGUGAGUAACGCGUGGGGAAUCUGCCUUUGAGCGGGGGACAACAUUUGGAAACGAAUGCUAAUACCGCAUAAAAACUUUAAACACAAGUUUUAAGUUUGAAAGAUGCAAUUGCAUCACUCAAAGAUGAUCCCGCGUUGUAUUAGCUAGUUGGUGAGGUAAAGGCUCACCAAGGCGAUGGUACAUAGCCGACCUGAGAGGGUGAUCGGCCACAUUGGGAAUGAGACACGGCCCAAACUGCUACGGGAGGCAGCCGUAGGGAAUCUUCGGCAAUGGAGGAAAGUCUGACCGAGCAACGCCGCGUGAGUGAAGAAGGUUCUCGGAUCGUAAAACUCUGUUGGUAGAGAAGAACGUUGGUGAGAGUGGAAAGCUCAUCAAGUGACGGUAACUACCCAGAAAGGGACGGCUAACUACGUG